NNGAAGAUUAGCAUGGCCCCUGUGGAAGGAUGACAUGCACAUUUGUGAAGCAUCCAUAUUUUUC
rnacentral:snRNA from 1 species